CAUAGAUCUAUAUAUAAAAUACAAAACCAUAGAACUUGUAGAAGAUAACGUAAGAGAAAAUCUAAAUGAACGUGAGUUGGGCAAUGACUUUUUAGAUACAUCAAAAGCACAAUCCAUGAAAGAAAUGGACAAGUAGGACUCCAUUAAAAUUUAAAACUUCUGCUUUUCCGUAGCUUGGACAAUAUUCCUGGAUCUGAGCGUUAGCUUCCUCCCCCAGAUUUAAGAUCUGAGGCCGAGCGUGGUCUGUGAGAGGUCAGGAUGGGAAUGGGGCCAUGGGGGCCAUUCUGAGGGCUUUAGUUUUCAUUCUGAGUGAGAUAGGAAGCCUUUGACGUAUUUUCAGAAGAACAUUGGCCUGAUCUAAAUGUUUUCAGGAUCGUUCUGUCUGCUGCGUUGUGCAGAGCCUGUGGGUGAGGGCUCUUUGGUUAUUACUUGCUGGAAACGAUUGACGUGGACUUGGCAGAGCUGUGGCGGUGAUGAGAUGUGGUGGGUUCUGGAUGCCUGCAGUGGGGAAGGGAAGCUGGUCGGCCUUAUUGUCGGACUUAAAGCACACAUGUGAAGCUUGAUCAACUGUCACUCAUUCGCUCACUCAUGUAACAUUAUUUACUCUGUGCCAGGAACAGGUGAAAGCACAUGGCCCAUCAGCUGUAACACAUAGCUGUAAGGUAAAGAACUGGAGGUCUGACUGAAUGCAAAUAUCUGCUAAAUCUGGGUGUCAGGUUUCCUAUAAAUUGGAGUUGGAUCUAGAACAGAGGUUUGAUCUGAGGUUUGAUAUGUUUUGGCAUUGCCUCACCACAGGAAGGACUGUGCUCGAGACACUAAGGUAACACUCAAGGCCCGUUAGAAGGAAAAACGGAGCUUAGCCUGUGCUGAUUAAGAGGACAAGUAGCUCACAGCACCCAGCAACUGGGUUGUGUUUUCACAGCUGCAGGAAUGUGGACCAUCGAGAAGGUCACAGAACAGCAACCGGUGCCCCAUAGAUUACUUCAGAUCUGUCUCUCAUCCCAGCAAGUGUGGCUCGGGUAGCAUCUUCAUCCCGGUAGUUUCACUCCAACAUCUGUCUUGGAAAUCUCCCAGGCCCAAACUGUUUCUGUGAUUGACGUGAAACUUAAGAGCUUUCAUGGAAUCCUUCAGGCGCUUCAGAAGAGGCACAAGUGAAAGGCCUCUCCUGAGAGUCCCCUCUCUCCACUGUCAUAUCCACUCUGCUCCCUGCACCUCUGGUGUCUAAAGCAAGUGGACCCUCCUUUUCAUUCAGCACUGAGACCCUGCACGUCAGGCGCUCACCGGAGACCUUAAUCUUGGAUUGACUAGUCUAGCUCCAGUCAAAAGAACAACUGAGGCCAUUUCACAAUCUAAUGAGAAUGCGAAUUACCCUUUCUUUCAGAAGCAAUAAACUGUAUAUAUCAAGUCAAAUCACCAUAAAGUUACAAACCUAGACGUUAUUAUUUAAGCUCCCUGUAGAAAUGUCACCACUGAUUUGCAAUCUACUCUUGCAUUUUUACUGAAAUUCAAAAAAUGAUAGAGGCAUUCAAGCAAAUAUGUGCAUUUUAAUGAACUUGCAUUGGAGACAAUUUACUUGCAUUGUAAAUAACCCGUAAUGGUAGAAACUUGUGUGUUUUGUGCUAGAGAUUUUCUUUCCUUAUCAGCUGUUACGCUCUCUUUAACUGGCUGCAAUAGGAAUACACCACCCCUCCUUCUAUCUUGAGGCUGGAAAUCUCAGACCUAAAUUCAGUGUCCCAGAAAAGCCCGGGGCCUCCUCUCCCCUUCACAGCUCUUCAUAUUCAAUUGAGUCAGACUAUACCACUAAUCACUUACUUAAACUGUCGCAAGUCCAUCUGGGAAGCUGGCAUACACUAUACUCAG